UUCGUAGGCGGUGCGGCAAGUCGGGAGUGAAAUCUCUGGGCUUAACUCAGAGGCUGCUUUCGAAACUGCCGCGCUCGAGUGCGGGAGAGGCCAGUGGAAUUGCAGGUGUGGCGGUGAAAUGCGUAGAUAUCUGCAGGAACACCCGUGGCGAAGGCGGCUGGCUGGACCGCAACUGACGCUGAGGAACGAAAGCUAGGGGAGCAAACAGGAUUAGAUACCCUGGUAGUCCUAGCCCUAAACCAUCAGGACUUGGGGUGGCCCGCGUAGGCGGGUCGUCCCGUAGCUAACGCGUUAAGUCCUGCGCCUGGGGAGUACGGUCGCAAGACUGAA
rnacentral:rRNA from 1 species